AGUCAAACACAAAUUGCCAAGUUCGAAACUUCGAAACUUUGAGUCAACUAGACUACGAUUCAGUAACAGUACAUACAAGUAUUUAUUUUAUCUACAGUUGAAAAAUCUAUUCAAUCGCUACUUUCACUUUAGUGUUUACAAACAAGCAUGGCAAAUAAAGCUCCAGCCAUCGGCAUCGACCUGGGAACGACGUUUUCCUGUGUCGGUGUAUUUGAACAUGGAAAAGUGGAAAUCAUCGCCAACGACCAAGGAAACAGAACGACGCCCAGCUACGUCGCCUUCACAGACACAGAGAGACUGAUAGGAGAUGCGGCUAAAAACCAGGUAGCCAUGAACGCCAACAAUACAAUCUUUGACGCUAAGAGGCUGAUAGGCCGCAAGUUCAACGACGACAGUGUACAGUCCGACAUGAAACAUUGGCCGUUCACGGUGAUCAAUGAUGGAGGAAAACCCAAGCUAGAAGUGGAAUUCAAGAACGAGAAAAAGAGAUUUACCCCAGAAGAAAUCAGCUCAAUGGUGCUGACCAAAAUGAAGGAGACAGCAGAAGCUUACUUGGGACAAACUGUCCAAGACGCAGUCGUCACCGUUCCUGCCUAUUUCAACAACGCCCAGAGAGAGGCCACUAAAGACGCCGGAGUGAUAGCCGGUCUCAAUCGUUCUCAUCUUUGACCUCGGAGGUGGUACAUUUGACGUGUCCAUCCUUACCAUUGAUGAGGGCUCCAUAUUUGAGGUUCGCUCCACUGCAGGGGAUACUCACCUGGGAGGUGAAGAUUUCGACAACAGAAUGGUCAAUCACUUUGUGCAGGAAUUCAAGCGCAAGUACAACAAAGACAUUUCCAAAAAUAACCGUUCACUGAGACGACUCAGGACGGCUUGCGAGCGUGCCAAGAGAACACUUUCCAGCAGUUCUGAGGCCAACAUUGAGAUCGACUCGCUGUUUGAGGGAAUGGACUUCUACAGCAAAAUCACACGAGCUAGAUUUGAAGAACUGUGUGCAGAUUUGUUCCGUGGAACCUUAGAACCCGUCGAGAAAGCCCUGCGGGAUGCCAAAAUGGACAAAUCUAAAAUUCACGAGGUGGUUCUGGUUGGAGGGUCGACACGAAUUCCAAAGAUCCAGAAAAUGCUGCAAGACUUCAUGGGCGGAAAAGAACUGAACAAAUCUAUCAACCCAGACGAGGCUGUGGCCUAUGGUGCCGCUGUCCAAGCGGCUAUUCUGAACGGAGAUAAGAGUGAUGUCAUCAAGGACGUUCUCCUGGUCGAUGUCACUCCAUUGUCUCUAGGCAUUGAAACUGCUGGAGGGGUCAUGACAAAGAUCGUCGAACGAAAUGCCAAGAUUCCUACCAAGGCAUCACAGACCUUCACCACAUACUCCGAUAACCAGCCCGGUGUAUCCAUUCAGGUGUUUGAAGGUGAACGAGCCAUGACAAGAGACAAUAACAAAUUAGGUACAUUUGAACUGAAUGGAAUUCCUCCAGCCCCUCGAGGUGUCCCACAGAUUGACGUGGAGUUUGACAUUGACGCCAAUGGUAUCUUAAACGUAUCAGCCAAGGACAAGAGCACGGGAAAGUCCAACAAAAUCACCAUCACCAACGACAAAGGUCGUCUGAGUAAGGCCGACAUUGAGAGAAUGGUGAACGAGGCCGAGAAAUACAAAGAGGAAGACGAUAAACAGCGUCAGAGGAUAGCGGCCCGUAAUCAGUUAGAAUCCUAUGUCUUCACCGUCAAACAGGCAGCAGAGGACACAGGAGACAAGCUUCAGUCUGAAGACAAAGAGACAAUAUCCAGGGUGUGCAGUGAAACAGUGUCCUGGCUCGACAACAAUGCCCUGGCAGAGGUUGACGAAUAUGAAUUCAAAUUGAAGGAGGUUCAAAAGGUGUGUUCACCUAUCAUGGCCAAACUACACCAAAACGGGUCCACGGGAAAUCCAGGACCAGCUAGCUCUAGUCAGGGACCGACCGUAGAGGAGAUGGACUAAAUGUCUAAUUUAAUGUAUAGAUUAAAUGGUUUUUGUACUUUCAAUGAAAGUGAGCAAGAGUUGCCAAAAGAUAUUUUGCAAUAUAACUGUGAUAUUUGAUAUUUAUUAAAUAAAAUUUGUACAUUUGUUGUUAUAUAUUUUUCCAUACAUUUAUACUUUUGUUGAAUGCUAAUAAAAACUAUAUAAAUGU
rnacentral:misc_RNA from 1 species